CCACGUCUUUGAUAGCACGUAACUCAUCUCUAAUAAUGGACCUAAGGUCCCUGCAUAACUAGACAUGUAAAAGCUGCAUUUCAUCUUUAAUAUCAGUUAGCAACUUUCCAAAUUCUUUCUUCAAUUCAAAAACUUCUUUCUUCAAUUCAGACACUUUCUUCUCCAACGGCUUAGACCGUACAUCAAUUGUCUCUUUCACAACAGAUACAUCAACACCAAUGUUGUCGGCCUUCACUUUUUUGUCUACUUUCUUGUCACCAUCCUUCCCACUAAAAAAAUGAAAACCGCCCAAAUCAAGCCAAUCCUUCUCCUCGGC
rnacentral:lncRNA from 1 species